UACGUAGGGGGCAAGCGUUGUCCGGAUUUAUUGGGCGUAAAGAGCGUGUAGGCGGCCAGACAGGUCCGUUGUGAAAACUCGAGGCUCAACCUCGAGAUGUCGAUGGAAACCGUCUGGCUAGAGUCCGGAAGAGGAGUGUGGAAUUCCUGGUGUAGCGGUGAAAUGCGCAGAUAUCAGGAAGAACACCCGUGGCGAAGGCGGCUCCUCUGGGACGGUACUGACGCUGAGACGCGAAAGCGUGGGGAGCGAACAGG
rnacentral:rRNA from 1 species